CUCAUGCUCACAACGUUUUAUUUCAUCAAUGCAACAAAUGGUUCACUCCGUCAAUCUAAUCUCCAUGAAAAUACCGUCUGCUAGCAAAUAUUAGACUAAACCAAGGAAAAGGCCAGGACACCACGCAGCACAAUGGUCCAAAAUGGGAGAUAAACAAUAUACAAGGAACCAAAAGACAUCCAACUUGAAAGUUAACAAUUGGAAACAUCAAAAAUCGUGCUUGCAGACAGAUCAUAAAGUUUUCAAAUAACUGAUAAGCCUCCAACUUGAAAGUAACCCCAUGAAAUACCAGUCAUUCAAAACUCUCUCCAGAAACAUUUGUAAACAGUUGAUGGGGCUACAAAAAGGAAGCGCUCUACCAAAAUAUGAAGAGCAAUCACAACCAACAAAACCAUGAUUAAAAAACAUCUGCACAAAACAGAACAAACAACCUCUCUAAACCCUCUUGGCUUUCAAAGCA
rnacentral:misc_RNA from 1 species